UGGGAGAAUACCACAGCCCUGUCUC
rnacentral:sRNA from 1 species